rnacentral:tRNA from 1 species
AAGCAAGAAGCGAAAGAUCGCGAUCAGUUUCGACCUGAUUAACUAGGUAGAAUUAAUGACCUACCCUUUCUUA